rnacentral:rRNA from 1 species
GGGCCGGGGUGAUUGCGUGCCUUUUGAAGAAUGAGCCUGCGAGUUAGCGGUACGUGGCGAGGUUAACCCGUGUGGGGUAGCCGUAGCGAAAGCGAGUCCGAACAGGGCGUUCUGAGUCGCGUGCUCUAGACCCGAAGCCGAGUGAUCUACCCAUGGCCAGGUUGAAGCGCGGGUAAGACCGCGUGGAGGACCGAACCCACCAGGGUUGAAAACCUGGGGGAUGAGCUGUGGGUAGGGGUGAAAGGCCAAUCAAACUCGGUGAUAGCUGGUUCUCCCCGAAAUGCAUUUAGGUGCAGCGUCACGUGUUUCUUGCCGGAGGUAGAGCACUGGAUGGCCGAUGGGCCCCACAAGGUUACUGACGUCAACCAAACUCCGAAUGCCGGUAAGUGAGAGCGUGGCAGUGAGACUGCGGGCGAUAAGGUUCGUAGUCGAGAGGGAAACAGCCCAGAUCAUCGGCUAAGGCCCCUAAGCGUGUGCUAAGUGGAAAAGGAUGUGGGAUCGCAGAGACAACCAGGAGGUUGGCUUAGAAGCAGCCACCCUUGAAAGAGUGCGUAAUAGCUCACUGGUCAAGUGGUUCCGCGCCGACAAUGUAGCGGGGCUCAAGCACACCGCCGAAGCCGUGGCAUUCACACAACAACCCGCCGGUUCCCUCGAGGGGCCGGCCAGGUGUGUGGAUGGGUAGGGGAGCGUCGUGUGGCGGUGGAAGCGGCGGAGUGAUCCAGCCGUGGACGCCACACGAGUGAGAAUGCAGGCAUGAGUAGCGAGAGGGGAGUGAGAACCUCCCCCGCCGGAAGACCAAGGGUUCCUGGGCCAGGCUAAUCCGCCCAGGGUGAGUCGGGACCUAAGGCGAGGCCGACAGGCGUAGUCGAUGGACAACGGGUUGAUAUUCCCGUACCCGCGAAGGAACGCCCAUGCUGAACCCAGCGAUGCUAACCCACCGACGCCGGGGAUCCUCCUUGUGAGGUGAACCGGGGAAGCUGGGGACCCGGACUGGUAGUAGGCAAGCGAUGGGGUGACGCAGGAAGGUAGUCCUACCGGUGAGUGGUAGUACCGGUGCAAGGGUGUGGCCCGUGGAAUAGGUAAAUCCGUUCCACAUGAGGGUGAGGCCCGACGCAUAGCCGAUUGAGGCGAAUUGGAUGAUCCUAUGCUGCCGAGAAAAGCCUCUAGCGAGUUCCGAGCGGCCCGUACCCCAAACCAACUCAGGUGGUCAGGUAGAGAAUACCGAGGCGAUCGAGCGAACUGUGGUUAAGGAACUCGGCAAAAUGCCCCCGUAACUUCGGGAGAAGGGGGGCCCCAGCCCGUGAACCACCUAGCGUGGGGCAGCGGGAGGGGGUCGCAGAGACCAGUGAGAAGCGACUGUUUACUAAAAACACAGGUCCGUGCGAAGUCGUAAGACGAUGUAUACGGACUGACGCCUGCCCGGUGCUGGAACGUUAAGGGGACGGGUUAGCCGCAAGGCGAAGCUCAGAACUCAAGCGCCAGUAAACGGCGGUGGUAACUAUAACCAUCCUAAGGUAGCGAAAUUCCUUGUCGGGUAAGUUCCGACCUGCACGAAUGGCGUAACGACUUCUCAGCUGUCUCAACCACAGGCUCGGCGAAAUUGCACUACGAGUAAAGAUGCUCGUUACGCGCGGCAGGACGGAAAGACCCCGGGACCUUUACUAUAGCUUGAUAUUGGUGUUCGGUUCGGCUUGUGUAGGAUAGGUGGGAGACUGCGAAGCGGGCACGCCAGUGUUCGUGGAGUCGCCGUUGAAAUACCACUCUGGUCGAAUUGGAUGUCUAACCUCGGUCCGUGAUCCGGAUCAGGGACAGUGUCAGGUGGGUAGUUUAACUGGGGCGGUUGCCUCCCAAAAUGUAACGGAGGCGCCCAAAGGUUCCCUCAGCCUGGUUGGCAAUCAGGUGUCGAGUGCAAGUGCACAAGGGAGCUUGACUGCGAGACCGACGGGUCGAGCAGGAGCGAAAGCUGGGACUAGUGACCCGGCACCGGCAUGUGGAAGCGGUGUCGCUCAACGGAUAAAAGGUACCCCGGGGAUAACAGGCUGAUCUUCCCCAAGAGUCCAUAUCGACGGGAUGGUUUGGCACCUCGAUGUCGGCUCGUCGCAUCCUGGGGCUGGAGUAGGUCCCAAGGGUUGGGCUGUUCGCCCAUUAAAGCGGUACGCGAGCUGGGUUUAGAACGUCGUGAGACAGUUCGGUCCCUAUCCGCCGUGCGCGUAAGAGACUUGAGAAGAGCUGUCCCUAGUACGAGAGGACCGGGACGGACGAACCUCUGGUGUGCCAGUUGUACCGCCAGGUGCACUGCUGGUUGGCUACGUUCGGCAGGGAUAACCGCUGAAAGCAUCUAAGCGGGAAGCUCGCUUCAAGAUGAGGUCUCUCACCGGGUCAACCGGGUAAGGCCCCCGCCCAGACCAGCGGGUUGAUAGGCCGGAAGUGGAAGCACCG